rnacentral:rRNA from 1 species
CCUACGGGAGGCAGCAGUAGGGAAUAUUGCUCAAUGGGGGAAACCCUGAAGCAGCAACGCCGCGUGGAGGAUGAAGGUUUUCGGAUUGUAAACUCCUUUUGUUAGAGAAGAUAAUGACGGUAUCUAACGAAUAAGCACCGGCUAACUCCGUGCCAGCAGCCGCGGUAAUACGGAGGGUGCAAGCGUUACGCGGAAUCACUGGGCGUAAAGAGGGCGUAGGCGGGAUAGAAAGUCAGAUGUGAAAUCCUAUGGCUUAACCAUAGAACUGCAUUUGAAACUGUUAUUCUAGAGUAUGGGAGAGGUAGGUGGAAUUCUUGGUGUAGGGGUAAAAUCCGUAGAGAUCAAGAGGAAUACUCAUUGCGAAGGCGACCUGCUAGAACAUAUCUGACGCUGAUGCGCGAAAGCGUGGGGAGCAAACAGGAUUAGAUACCCGAGUAGUC